CGGGACAAACCCUAGCCUUACAUCCCACACUACGUCCUCCUCCAUCCUCGUUAGCCGCCGCCGCCGUUCUGCCUCCCUCCUCUCUACCCUACAACCACGCCGGCGGAAGGAAGCCUCCGUUCGUGGCGCCAUACCACUGCCGGUGUGCUGUGCACGCUUCGUUCCCCACAGCCCCUCCCUCAUCCUCGCUCGGCACCGCCGCUGCCUGCUACUCCCCUCCACCACCGUUGCUACUUGUGGGUCGAAUCUAGCAUUGGUGGGUCAGAGCUCAAGCUAGAGGCCGAGACGGGGCUGGGCGAGCGGAUUCCAGGUGCGGGUUCGCCCUCUCCCCGCGCGGCGCGUGCGCAUCACGCCGUCUACGGGAGCGUGGGGGCAGGCCUCGCCCGCACCCCUCCGCCCUACCUCCCUCCUCGAUCUCUCUCCCUGGUCAGCCGCCACCAACCCUAGCCCCCUUUCAUACGCUGACUCCUCCAUACUCUGUCUCUGUCCGUGCAGGCGGCCAUCUUCGUUCCACCCCGAGCUUCUCAUCCUCCUUCCUUGCUUCUCUACUCCCACACGAAGGAGGAAGAUGCAAAUGGCGUCGGCUUUGGGAGAUAGCUCGCCCGGCUGCAGGGAAGGGCGACGGGACCGGCAUCCUGGGCGGUGGCGACGGUUGGACUCCAGGAGCUGCCGAGGUUGUCCUCACCAAGGAAGCGGCCGACAGCGCAAGGGAGGGCUCGUCCUUACGUGGUGCUCAACCGGCGAUUGAGAUUUGGAGGGAGACUAGGAGACCCCGGCGAAAACGAGCGUGCUAGCGGUGGCUCCGGGAAUGCAGGGUGAUAGGGCCCAGUCUAUGCUCCGGUUGUGUUGUUGGGGAAGCUUCUGGACGGGAUUUAGACAAGGAAACGGAAACCCGUGCGAAAUCGAGCAUCCUGGUGGUGCCUCGACCAAAGCGGGUCGACGGAUAGUGCCGGUGAGCACGGAGCAUGGUGCAGCGAGUUGGAUAGGCGGCAAGAGAGGUGACCACGGGUGUGGCUUGGGGAGCUCCGCACACAUGAAGUGAUGAUGAGUGCAUCCGACCCCACCAUGCUGCUGUUCCUGGAGAACAAGGGGUAUAUGAACCAGAAAUGAUGUGAUAUACUUGGUUAUUUGAACAUGAAGGUCAACCACGGGGUGGCGCGACAUGGGUGAGCUGAAAUUGUUCUACUGAUUCCUUGAUGCUUUGUUCAUUGCUUUGUUCUUAUUUUAUCGUUCUUUAUUUGCUUUGUUCUUUCCUACAAGAAGAUGCCGAGUCGUGCAAUAUGUUCAAAGAAGUGAGAAUCUGCAUUUUAUGAAUGUUUUCUUCUUUCUUCAUUGUUACCUCAAGUCAGUGAAUUCAGUUAAAUUGUACUGAGCAGCUUCAUACGCAUGGUUUCUCCAUCUACACAUCUUAUUCAGUCACGAGGCCAUUAAGAUCUUUUUGACUUUUAUAAAAAGGGUGAUGCCAAUUGGACGUCACCCUGUCCAACUUGAUCUUUAACUUGCUAUUACUGUUUGGAUCUUCACAUUCAAGGAUUUUUCAUUAAAUCGUCGGUUCACCAGUUCUUUGUUACUUGAGAUAUUGUGAUAAACUUAUAUCAUUGCUUACUAUACAUAUGUCUGGAUGAUGCCUGCAGGCUCAUUACAAGCUUCAGGUGGAUCAAAUAGUGGGCCUUCUAUAUAUAUAUUCAGCUGUAUCAUUUCUUACUAUAUAUGUCUUCCUGUAGACGAGACGAAACCAUACAUGGAUCCUUUGCCUCCUUUCUUGCUCAGACCCCAUGAUACAACCUCGGCGGUUGUCCAGCGACUAACAGGUAAUUUCUCUUUCAAUUUGAUGAUGAUGGAUGAGAAUCAGUUCUAUGAUUGCAGCUUAUAAAAACAGAUGUUGGAUGUCCCUUAUGUGAUGUGCUUAUUUACCAUGAUAGAUGCAAUUGCUUAUUAGUAGGUGCUCUCCGAAUCCUUCUUUAACUAAUUUACUUUGAAGUUCGGACAAAGGAGACUAUAACUUUUUAUAUUCGUUCUAUCAUGGAUUCCCUCUCUAGCCUAUGUACGUUUCAGAAAUAGGUACACACCUAGGAGAAGCCUGAGACCUAAUAAUAGUGCUAAGCAAUUACUCUGAUUGUCAUUCUAUGCUAUCAUCACAACACAGGUCAAUAGACAGUCAACAAAUGUGUAAUCAGCUUUCCCUGGGUCCUGCAUCAUCUACUAAUAAUCAAAUUUUGUGGCGAGUGUCUUAUAAAUCAGCAUACCUAUUUCUCCACACUGGAUAGCUUUUAUUGUGACUACAAAGAAUAUCGUUUGAGGAUGGCAUGCCAAUUGUUCUAUGUCUUGGGUAUGAAGUAAUUUCUAAAAUGUCUUAGGUUUCCCUAUAAAUUCUGCAAAUUUGCGGCAUGUCAUUAAAACCUACAGGGUGCUCCACCGAUGGUGAAAAUACCUCACAUGAUGAUGUUGGAUAUUCUUCUACAAACUUCUGGCCUACUAGUGGCUGAGUAUCGAAGCAAAAUGUGACAGUUGCAUGAUGUGGUUGACUGUUUAUUUGCAUACAGCAAUAUCAUCUUUUGGAGAUAAAACAGCCGUAUGGAUGUUACAUGAGACCAUGUCGGAAGACCCUGCUGCUAUGUAAGCAAAAGGAUUCAUGAUACCCACGGUGAAAACAGAGAUAAGAUGCUACAGUUAGAGCAGCAUUGAGAAACCGAGGACACGAAAUGAGUCUGAAAAAUGCUAUGGGCUGAUUUGUUCUAGCUAGGUACAUGCAAUGCUUCUCUUAUAUAUAUGCAACGUAACAUCGCGGAUAACUAGAACUGUUGUGAUGUUGCUCUAUUAUAAGUACAAAUAACUCAUGGUUAUCUUUUCUUAUGCAAUGUGUGGUAGAAGUUGUACUCACAGGAAGACUAUCGUGCUUUGUAUAAACCACAUUCUAUGAUUCACUUCUGUUAUGCUUAUUUACAUUCCAGUGUUAGGACUGAAAUCCAUCUAUUGUAAUGAAUUUGGUUAUAUUGGCAUUACCUAUUUGACUUAGGCUUGGUUCAUCACAUAUAGACUGUUUUUCUUGUAACCCGCUGCUUGUAUGACCUAAAACUGUCAUGUAUAUGAGGCAAGUUAUUAGCAAUGU
rnacentral:rRNA from 1 species